rnacentral:rRNA from 1 species
UCUUGAAGAUAAAAGGUGAGCCAGUACAGGAUGGACCCGCGUCUGAUUAGCGAGUUGGUAAGGUAACGGCUUACCAAGGCGACGAUCAGUAGCCGACCGGAGAGGGUGAUCGGCCACAUUGGAACUGAGACACGGUCCAAACUCCUACGGGAGGCAGCAGGGGGGAAUAUUGCACAAUGGGCGAAAGCCUGAUGCAGCAACGCCGCGUGAGUGAUGAAGGCCUUCGGGUCGUAAAACUCUGUCCUCAAGGAAGAUAAUGACGGUACUUGAGGAGGAAGCCCCGGCUAACUACGUGCCAGCAGCCGCGGUAAUACGUAGGGGGCUAGCGUUAUCCGGAUUUACUGGGCGUAAAGGGUGCGUAGGCGGUCUUUCAAGUCAGGAGUGAAAGGCUACGGCUCAACCGUAGUAAGCUCUUGAAACUGGGAGACUUGAGUGCAGGAGAGGAGAGUGGAAUUCCUAGUGUAGCGGUGAAAUGCGUAGAUAUUAGGAGGAACACCAGUUGCGAAGGCGGCUCUCUGGACUGU